ACUAUUCAUGCCUGUUACGAAUUUGAGUGGCGAAAAAGAAAUGAUUACACCCCUGGACUCGACACAGUGAUUGAGGAAACAGAAGAAGAAUCGUACAAAGGAAAAACUGGAGAGGACAUUAAACCAGAGUUUGCCAGCGGAACAGAAUAUCUGGACUGGUUGGAGCGAAAACUUCCUUAUCUUGAACCAUUUUUACCAGAAGAUGAAGUUCAUCAGUAUUUCUUCCGUAAAUGGAGUCGUGAUGAUUUCAGAUACACGCCGUGGCUUGACACA